CCUACGGGUGGCAGCAGUGGGGAAUAUUGCACAAUGGGGGAAACCCUGAUGCAGCGACGCCGCGUGAGUGAAGAAGUAUUUCGGUAUGUAAAGCUCUAUCAGCGGGGAAGAAGAAAGAGGGUACUUGCCUAGGAAGCCCCGGCGAACUACGUGCCAGCCGCCGCGGUAAAACGGAGGGGGCAAGCGUUAUCCGGAUUUAUUGGGUGUAAGGGGAGGGUAGACGGCUGUGCAAGUCUGAAGUGAAAGCCCAGGGCUCAACCCUGGGACUGCUUUGGAAACUGUGGAGCUAGAGUGCUGGAGAGGUAAGUGGAAUGCCUAGUGUAGCGGUGAAAUGCGUAGAUAUUAGGAGGAACACCAGUGGCGAAGGCGGCUUACUGGACAGUAACUGACGUUGAGGCUCGAAAGCGUGGGGAGCAAACAGGAUUAGAUACCCCUGUAGUC
rnacentral:rRNA from 1 species